rnacentral:rRNA from 1 species
UACGUAGGGGGCAAGCGUUGUCCGGAAUCAUUGGGCGUAAAGCGCGUGUAGGCGGCUUGGUAAGUCCGUUCUGAAAGCCCGGGGCUCAACCCCGGGAGGCGGAUGGAUACUGUCAAGCUUGAGUCCGGAAGAGGCGAGUGGAAUUCCCGGUGUAGCGGUGAAAUGCGUAGAGAUCGGGAGGAACACCAGUGGCGAAGGCGGCUACCUGGACCAGCACUGACACUGAGGCACGAAAGCGUGGGGAGCAAACAGG